rnacentral:miRNA from 1 species
UUAUUAGUCAGUGGAGGAAAUG